UGGGGAAUAUUGCACAAUGGACGGAAGCCUGAUGCAGCAACGCCGCGUGCGGGAUGACGGCCUUCGGGUUGUAAACCGCUUUCGCCUGUGACGAAGCGUGAGUGACGGUAAUGGGUAAAGAAGCACCGGCUAACUACGUGCCAGCAGCCGCGGUGAUACGUAGGGUGCGAGCGUUGUCCGGAUUUAUUGGGCGUAAAGGGCUCGUAGGUGGUUGAUCGCGUCGGAAGUGUAAUCUUGGGGCUUAACCCUGAGCGUGCUUUCGAUACGGGUUGACUUGAGGAAGGUAGGGGAGAAUGGAAUUCCUGGUGGAGCGGUGGAAUGCGCAGAUAUCAGGAGGAACACCAGUGGCGAAGGCGGUUCUCUGGGCCUUUCCUGACGCUGAGGAGCGAAAGCGUGGGGAGCGAACA
rnacentral:rRNA from 1 species